GUCUACGGCCAUACCACCCUGAAGGUGCCCAAUCUCAUCUGAUCUCGGAAGCUAAGCAGGGUCGGGCCUGGUUAGUACUUGGAUGGGAAAAUCAAAACGAGAAUGAGCACAUUAGUAC
rnacentral:rRNA from 1 species